GACGAACGCUGGCGGCGUGCUUAACACAUGCAAGUCGAACGGAAAGGCCCUGCUUUUGUGGGGUGCUCGAGUGGCGAACGGGUGAGUAACACGUGAGUAACCUGCCCUUGACUUUGGGAUAACUUCAGGAAACUGGGGCUAAUACCGGAUAGGAGCUCCUGCUGCAUGGUGGGGGUUGGAAAGUUUCGGCGGUUGGGGAUGGACUCGCGGCUUAUCAGCUUGUUGGUGGGGUAGUGGCUUACCAAGGCUUUGACGGGUAGCCGGCCUGAGAGGGUGACCGGCCACAUUGGGACUGAGAUACGGCCCAGACUCCUACGGGAGGCAGCAGGGGGGAAUAUUGCACAAUGGGCGGAAGCCUGAGGCAGCGACGCCGCGUGCGGGAUGACGGCCUUCGGGUUGUAAACCGCUUUCGCCGGUGACGAAGCGUGAGUGACGGUAAUGGGUAAAGAAGCACCGGCUAACUACGUG
rnacentral:rRNA from 1 species